UACAGAGGUGCCGAGCGUUAGGCGGAAUCACUGGGCUUAAAGCGUGUGUAGGCGGAUGCCUAAGUACCUUGUGAAAUCCCCCGGCUUAACCGGGGAACUGCUUGGUAUACUGGGUGUCUUGAGCCACUUAGGGGCGACCGGAACAAACGGUGGAGCGGUGAAAUGCGUAGAUAUCGUUUGGAACGCCAAUGGUGAAAACAGGUCGCUGGGAGUGUGCUGACGCUGAGACACGAAAGCCAGGGGAGCGAACAGG
rnacentral:rRNA from 1 species